GCAAGUCGAGCGCUUCCCUUCGGGGAGGAGCGGCGGACGGGUUAGUAACGCGUGGGAACAUACCCUUUUCUAAGGAAUAGCCUCGGGAAACUGAGAGUAAUACCGUAUACGCCCUUCGGGGGAAAGAUUUAUCGGUUAAGGAUUGGCCCGCGUUUGAUUAGAUAGUUGGUGGGGUAACGGCCUACCAAGUCUACGAUCUAUAGCUGGUCUUAGAGGAUGAUC
rnacentral:rRNA from 1 species